GAUGAACGCUGGCUACAGGCUUAACACAUGCAAGUCGAGGGGAAACGACGGGGAAGCUUGCUUCCCCGGGCGUCGACCGGCGCACGGGUGAGUAACGCGUAUCCAACCUGCCUCUGACUGAGGGAUAACCCGUCGAAAGUCGGCCUAAUACCUCAUGGUAUCGUCUGCGGGCAUCCAACGACGAUUAAAGAUUUCAUCGGUCAGGGAUGGGGAUGCGUCUGAUUAGCUUGUUGGCGGGGUAACGGCCCACCAAGGCUACGAUCAGUAGGGGUUCUGAGAGGAAGGUCCCCCACAUUGGAACUGAGACACGGGCCAAACUCCUACGGGAGGCAGCAGUGAGGAAUAUUGGUCAAUGGGCGAGAGCCUGAACCAGCCAAGUAGCGUGCAGGAAGACGGCCCUAUGGGUUGUAAACUGCUUUUAUGCGGGGAUAAAGUGAGGGACGUGUCCCUCAUUGCAGGUACCGCAUGAAUAAGGACCGGCUAAUUCCGUG
rnacentral:rRNA from 1 species